UAUAAAUAAUUUUACUUUGAAACUGCGAAUGGCUCAUUAUAUCAGUUAUAGUUUAUUAGAAAUACUUUACUACUUGGAUAACCGUAGUAAUUCUAGGGCUAAUACAUGACUAAAUCCUCAACUUCGGAAGAGGUGUGUUUAUUAGUAUGAAAACCAUAUAUCUUCGGAUAUAAUAGUGAGUAAUAAUAACCUUUCGUAUCGUAUGUCGUAAGAUAACGAUAGUUCUUUCAAGUUUCUGCCCUAUCAGCUUUCGAUGGUAGUAUAUGGGACUACCAUGGCAGUAACGGGUAACGAAGAAUUUGGGUUCGAUUUCGGAGAGGGAGCCUGAGAGAUGGCUACCACAUCCAAGGAAGGCAGCAGGCGCGUAAAUUACCCAAUCCUGACAUAGGGAGGUAGUGACAAUAAAUCACAAUGCGGAACUAUUUAGUUUUGCAAUUGAAUUGAAAACAAUGUACAAAUGUUAUCGAUAAACAAUUGGAGGGCAAGUCUGGUG
rnacentral:rRNA from 1 species